GUUUGAGGAGUGGAGCUCCUUGAAGUCCAAUAGAGGAUCUGACUGGGUUGAUUGAGCUGCUAGCCUAUGGAUCCCUCAGCCCUAUCCAUUAUAAUCCCAUGUUUGGAUAGGAUUGGGGUUUGCAUAUGCCAGGAGCUGCAUUACCCACUGUUUAAAUUCUUGUUUGGAUUGAAGGGAGCUCUGCACCAAUAAUCU
rnacentral:pre_miRNA from 1 species